rnacentral:rRNA from 1 species
AUUGAACGCUGGCGGCAUGCUUUACACAUGUAAGUCGAACGGGGUGGGGGGCAACCCUCAUUCAGUGGCGAACGGGUGAGUAAUGCAUCGGAACGUAUCCCGUAGUGGGGGACAACGCCGCGAAAGCGGCGCUAAUACCGCAUAUGCUCUACGGAGGAAAGUGGGGGACCUGAAAGGGCCUCACGCUAUGGGAGCGGCCGAUGUCCGAUUAGCUAGUUGGUGGGGUAAUGGCCCACCAAGGCGACGAUCGGUAGCUGGUCUGAGAGGAUGAUCAGCCACACUGGGACUGAGACACGGCCCAGACUCCUACGGGAGGCAGCAGUGGGGAAUUUUGGACAAUGGGGGCAACCCUGAUCCAGCCAUGCCGCGUGCGGGAAGAAGGCCUUCGGGUUGUAAACCGCUUUUAGUCGGGAAGAAAAGGCAUCUCCUAAUACGGGGUGUUCUUGACGGUACCGGCGGAAUAAGCACCGGCUAACAACGUGCCAGCAGCCGCAGUAAUAC